CACGUAGGCACCAAGCGUUAUCCGGAUUUAUUGGGCGUAAAGAGCUCGUAGGCGGUUCGGUAAGUCGGGUGUGAAAACUCUGGGCUCAACCCAGAGAGGCCACCCGAUACUGCUGUGACUAGAGUGCGGUAGGGGAGCGGGGAAUUCAUGGUGUAGCGGUGAAAUGCGCAGAUAUCAUGAGGAACACCAGCGGCGAAGGCGCCGCUCUGGGCCGUAACUGACGCUGAGGAGCGAAAGCAUGGGUAGCAAACAGG
rnacentral:rRNA from 1 species